UACGUAGGGGUCAAGCGUUGUCCGGAUUUAUUGGGCGUAAAGAGCGUGUAGGCGGCCAGGUAGGUCCGUUGUGAAAACUGGAGGCUUAACCUCCAGCUGUCGAUGGAAACCAUCUGGCUAGAGUCCGGAAGAGGAGAGUGGAAUUCCUGGUGUAGCGGUAAUAUGCGUAGAUAUCGGGAGGAACACCAGUGGCGAAGGCGGCUCUCUGGGGUAUUGCUGACGCUGAGGCACGAAAGCCAGGGGAGCGAACGGG
rnacentral:rRNA from 1 species